rnacentral:rRNA from 1 species
GGCUCAGGAUGAACGCUGGCGGCGUGCCUAAUACAUGCAAGUCGAGCGAACAGAUAAGGAGCUUGCUCCUUUGACGUUAGCGGCGGACGGGUGAGUAACACGUGGGUAACCUACCUAUAAGACUGGAAUAACUCCGGGAAACCGGGGCUAAUGCCGGAUAACAUGUUGAACCGCAUGGUUCUACAGUGAAAGACGGUCUUGCUGUCACUUAUAGAUGGACCCGCGCCGUAUUAGCUAGUUGGUGGGGUAACGGCCUACCAAGGCGACGAUACGUAGCCGACCUGAGAGGGUGAUCGGCCACACUGGAACUGAGACACGGUCCAGACUCCUACGGGAGGCAGCAGUAGGGAAUCUUCCGCAAUGGGCGAAAGCCUGACGGAGCAACGCCGCGUGAGUGAUGAAGGUCUUCGGAUCGUAAAGCUCUGUUGUUAGGGAAGAACAAAUGNGUAAGUAACUGUGCACAUCUGACG